rnacentral:rRNA from 1 species
GACGAACGCUGGCGGCGUGCUUAACACAUGCAAGUCGAACGGAAAGGCCCUGCUUUUGUGGGGUGCUCGAGUGGCGAACGGGUGAGUAACACGUGAGUAACCUGCCCUUGACUUUGGGAUAACUUCAGGAAACUGGGGCUAAUACCGGAUAGGAGCUCCUGCUGCAGGGUGGGGGUUGGAAAGUUUCGGCGGUUGGGGAUGGACGCGCGGCUUAUCAGCUUGUUGGGGGGGUAGGGGCUUACCAAGGCUUUGACGGGUAGCCGGCCUGAGAGGGUGACCGGCCACAUUGGGACUGAGAUACGGCCCAGACUCCUACGGGAGGCAGCAGUGGGGAAUAUUGCACAAUGGGCGGAAGCCUGAUGCAGCAACGCCGCGUGCGGGAUGACGGCCUUCGGGUUGUAAACCGCUUUCGCCUGUGACGAAGCGUGAGUGACGGUACUGGGUGAAGAAGCACCGGCUAACUACGUG